UGAAGAACAAAACUGAUGAGACUGAUGAGGUUCCUUCCUUCGAGAUGCUCACACUGGGGCAGAGUGACGUGGAAUAACCUGGUAAUAGGAGAUAAUAAUGUCAAGUAAGAAGCAACCAAAAAUGGUUCCACGUUGGACUGCGAGAGCCUGGGGACAGCAUUCUCAGGAGUGGGAGUCAGAAGAUGGAGUUCCAAGGAGUGGCAGCCAAGGAGCCAGGACAAGUGUUCCAAGCAGGAGGAAUGGCCAGGGCAAAGGCUUGAUGGUGGGAAAGCAGGCUGCAAGUGUGGCCGUGGGUGGCUUCAGAGAGCUGGGUGGAACGGUUCGUGCCUCGCUAAGUAGGCCUGGCCAGGUAGGAGUUUGACCUGCAUUCCAAGUAAAAGGAUAAGUUAUUAGAGGGUUCCAACUGAGGAAAGAUGGCAUCAGACUGGCAUUUCAGGACAUCCCUCCAGCUGCUGGGCAGACAGUAGUGUCAGUUACACCUGCCCAAGCCACACUGGUCUUCUUGCAUUUUCCCAAAUCCCCCAGACAUGUUCCUACUUGAAGCCUCUUCACUCACUCUCCUCCUCCAGGAAGGCUCUUGUCUCAGAAAGCCACAUGACAUGUCCUCAUCUCCCUCAGGUCUCACUUCCAAUGUCCCUUGUGACAGAGGCCAUCCUUGGCAACACUCUAAAAAGCCGGGCACAGGGCUCCCUGCCCCUCUAGUCUACUUUAUUCAUCUGUAGCACUUAGAUAUUAUACAGGAUACACGGGUUUGUGUAUUUUUUUCUCCUCCAGUCAAAUGUAACACCACUAGUACAGAGUGCGUGCUCAACAGUUAGUCUAUAGUCUCAAUAGAUACAGAGCUCUCUGUGUACAUGGGUUCCACAUUUGUGGAUUCAACCAAACCGGU
rnacentral:lncRNA from 1 species